rnacentral:rRNA from 1 species
AGUGAACGCUGGCGGUAGGCCUAACACAUGCAAGUCGAACGGCAGCACAGUAAGAGCUUGCUCUUACGGGUGGCGAGUGGCGGACGGGUGAGGAAUAAAUCGGAAUCUACUUUUUCGUGGGGGAUAACGUAGGGAAACUUACGCUAAUACCGCAUACGACCUACGGGUGAAAGCAGGGGAUCUUCGGACCUUGCGCGAUUGAAUGAGCCGAUGUCGGAUUAGCUAGUUGGCGGGGUAAAGGCCCACCAAGGCGACGAUCCGUAGCUGGUCUGAGAGGAUGAUCAGCCACACUGGAACUGAGACACGGUCCAGACUCCGACGGGAGGCAGCAGUGGGGAAUAUUGGACAAUGGGCGCAAGCCUGAUCCAGCCAUACCGCGUGGGUGAGGAAGGCCUUCGGGUUGUAAAGCCCUUUUGUUGGGAAAGAAAAGCAGCAGGUUAAUACCCCGCUGUUCUGACGGUACCCAAAGAAUAAGCACCGGCUAACUUCGUG